rnacentral:rRNA from 1 species
AGCAGUAGCCGCGGGAAUACGAAGGGGGCUAGCGUUGUUCGGAUUUACUGGGCGUAAAGCGCGCGCAGGCGGAUAGGUCAGUCUGUCUUAAAAGUUCGGGGCUUAACCCCGUGAUGGGAUGGAAACUGCCAAUCUAGAGUAUCGGAGAGGAAAGUGGAAUUCCUAGUGUAGCGGUGAAAUGCGUAGAUAUUAGGAAGAACACCAGUGGCGAAGGCGACUUUCUGGACGAAAACUGACGCUGAGGCGCGAAAGCCAGGGGAGCGAACGGGAUUAGAGACCCGUGUAGUCCCUGUCUCUUAUACC